rnacentral:rRNA from 1 species
GUCGAGGGGUAGAGUUCUUCGGAAUUUGAGACCGGCGCACGGGUGCGUAACGCGUAUGCAAUCUACCUUUUACAGAGGGAUAGCCCAGAGAAAUUUGGAUUAAUACCUCAUAGUAUAGCAGUUUCGCAUGAAACCACUAUUAAAGUCACAACGGUAAAAGAUGAGCAUGCGUCCCAUUAGCUAGUUGGUAAGGUAACGGCUUACCAAGGCUACGAUGGGUAGGGGUCCUGAGAGGGAGAUCCCCCACACUGGUACUGAGACACGGACCAGACUCCUACGGGAGGCAGCAGUGAGGAAUAUUGGACAAUGGGCGCAAGCCUGAUCCAGCCAUGCCGCGUGCAGGAUGACGGUCCUAUGGAUUGUAAACUGCUUUUGUACGAGAAGAAACACUCCUAUGUAUAGGAGCUUGACGGUAUCGUAAGAAUAAGGAUCGGCUAACUCCGUGCCAGCAGCCGCGGUAAUACGGAGGAUCCAAGCGUUAUCCGGAAUCAUUGGGUUUAAAGGGUCCGUAGGCGGUUUAGUAAGUCAGUGGUGAAAGCCCAUCGCUCAACGGUGGAACGGCCAUUGAUACUGCUGAACUUGAAUUAUUAGGAAGUAACUAGAAUAUGUAGUGUAGCGGUGAAAUGCUUAGAGAUUACAUGGAAUACCAAUUGCGAAGGCAGGUUACUACUAAUGGAUUGACGCUGAUGGACGAAAGCGUGGGUAGCGAACAGGAUUAGAUACCCUGGUAGUCCACGCCGUAAACGAUGGAUACUAGCUGUUGGGAGCAAUUUCAGUGGCUAAGCGAAAGUGAUAAGUAUCCCACCUG